CCAAGAAUUUUCCGCAAUGGGGGAAACCCUGACGGAGCGACGCCGCGUGAAGGAUGAAGGUCUUCGGAUUGUAAACUUCUUUUCUAUGGGAAGAAUAAGUGUGUCAGGAAAUGGGCAUGCGAUGACGGUACCAUAGGAAUAAGCCCCGGCUAAUUACGUGCCAGCAGCCGCGGUAAUACGUAAGGGGCGAGCGUUGCUCGGAAUUACUGGGCGUAAAGGGCGUGCAGGUGGAUAAGCAAGUCGAAUGUAAAAAACCGCGGCUCAACCGCGGGGAUGCGUUCGAAACUGCUUAUCUUGAGUCUGGUGGAGGGUGAUGGAAUUCCCGGUGUAGCGGUGAAAUGCGUAGAUAUCGGGAAGAACACCGAAGGCGAAGGCAGUCAUCCAUGCCAAGACUGACACU
rnacentral:rRNA from 1 species